rnacentral:lncRNA from 1 species
AUUCCGAGACGCAUGAGUCUAUACUAUAUAUUCAAUACUAUUACGUAAAGUCUAAAGGCUUUAUCUAUAAAUGAAGCAGUAGCGCUGUAGCGGAAAAACCUCGUAUCGCUACUUAAAUAUGUAGCGGGCGCUACCGCUACCGCUACAAUUGCUUAAAUGUAGUGCCGCUAUCGCUACAGCGAUACUCAACAAUUCCGAGACGCAUGAUUAAUUAUUAUUUUGAUCAUUCCGAGACGCACGAAAAUUAUUCCGAGACGCACGAUUCUAUACAUAAAGCAUCAUUUCUUCGUGUAUGAACCUUAAUAUAUCUUAUUAGGUUGAAUUACUAUAUAAAAUGUUCCAAACUUCAAAAAAAUUAUUUACGUCAUUAACUUCAUAUCUAGUCAAUGCUAUAUUUUUUCUGGCACAACGGACUAUAAUUAUUGACAAUUAAAAAUUUGGGAUACGGCAGCAUGCGCCCGCAGUCCGCACUCCGCAGCGCCUGGCAGCUGAGAUGAGAGAAGAAACAGGUCUGUCGCUUCACGGUCACGCCUUCACGCUUUGCCUGCACUUCAAGUUUUGAACAGCUUUAAGGCUAAAAAGCACAAUCAGGAGUCUGGAUCUGGAGUCUGGACAACCUCUAAAGGAAGGCUAGCAGACUGGCAGUUGUCCCACAGU